CAAAAGGCUCUUUUAAGAGCCGCCCACCACACUAUAAAAGAGCACA
rfam:Astyanax mexicanus Tnplaced_Scaffold_398, whole genome shotgun sequence.